rnacentral:rRNA from 1 species
ACUCCUACGGGAGGCAGCAGUGGGGAAUAUUGCACAAUGGGGAAGCCCUGAUGCAGCCAUGCCGCGUGUGUGAAGAAGGCCUCGGUUGUAAGCACUUUCAGUAGGGAGGAAGGUAGUGUAGUUAACACCUGCACUAUUUGACGUUACCUACAGAAGAAGCACCGGCUAACUCCGUGCCAGCAGCCGCGGUAAUACGGAGGGUGCGAGCGUUAAUCGGAAUUACUGGGCGUAAAGCGCAUGCAGGCGGCCUGUUAAGUCAGAUGUGAAAGCCCGGGGGCUUAACCUCGGAAUUGCAUUUGAAACUGGCAGGCUAGAGUCUUGUAGAGGGGGUAGAAUUUCAGGUGUAGCGGUGAAAUGCGUAGAGAUCUGAAGGAUACCAGUGGCGAAGGCGGCCCCUGGACAAAGACUGACGCUCAGAUGCGAAAGCGUGGGGAGCAAACAGGAUUAGAUACCCUGGUAGCACAGAG